GAUGAACGCUGGCGGCGUGCCUAAUACAUGCAAGUCGAACGCUGGAAAUCUAGCUUGCUAGAUUGAAGGAGUGGCGAACGGGUGAGUAAUACAUAAGCAACCUACCCACGAAGACUGGGAUAAUCUCUGGAAACGGGGACUAAUACCGGAUAGGUAAUCGGAAGGCAUCUUCUGAUUAUUAAAGGUUAAAAACACUGGUGGAUGGGCUUAUGGCGCAUUAGUUAGUUGGUGAGGUAACGGCCCACCAAGACGAUGAUGCGUAGCCGGCCUGAGAGGGUGAACGGCCACAUUGGGACUGAGACACGGCCCAGACUCCUACGGGAGGCAGCAGUAGGGAAUUUUCGGCAAUGGGGGAAACCCUGACCGAGCAACGCCGCGUGAGUGAUGACGACCUUCGGGGUGUAAAGCUCUGUUGUAAGGGAAGAACGGUAGAUAGAGAAUAUCUAAAUGACGGUACCUGACCAGAAAGCCACGGCUAACUACGUG
rnacentral:rRNA from 1 species